CCUACGGGAGGCAGCAGUGAGGAAUAUUGGUCAAUGGACGAGAGUCUGACGCAGCGACGCCGCGUGAGGGAUGAAGGUCUUCGGAUCGUAAACCUCUGUCAGCAGGGAAGUACGGUCACUGUGCUAAUCAGCAGUGAAUUGACGGUACCUACAAAGGAAGCACCGGCUAACUCCGUGCCAGCAGCCGCGGUAAUACGGAGGGUGCGAGCGUUAAUCGGAAUUACUGGGCGUAAAGCGCUCGUAGGCGGUAUGUCAAGUCAAGGGUGAAAUCCCCGCGCUCAACGGGGGAACUGCCUUUGAAACUGGCAAACUGGAGUGUGUGAGAGGAUAGUGGAAUUCCAGGUGUAGGAGUGAAAUCCGUAGAUAUCUGGAGGAACAUCAGUGGCGAAGGCGACUAUCUGGCACAUAACUGACGCUGAGGAGCGAAAGCGUGGGUAGCAAACAGGAUUAGAUACCCUGGUAGUC
rnacentral:rRNA from 1 species